AUUGAACGCUGGCGGAAUGCUUUACACAUGCAAGUCGAACGGCAGCACGGACUUCGGUCUGGUGGCGAGUGGCGAACGGGUGAGUAAUGUAUCGGAACGUGCCCAGUCGUAGGGGAUAACGUAGUGAAAAUUACGCUAAUACCGCAUACGCCCUACGGGGGAAAGCUGGGGACCUUCGGGCCUGGCGUUAAUGGAGCGGCCGAUAUCUGAUUAGCUAGUUGGUGAGGUAAAGGCUCACCAAGGCGACGAUCAGUAGCUGGUCUGAGAGGACGACCAGCCACACUGGAACUGAGACACGGUCCAGACUCCUACGGGAGGCAGCAGUGGGGAAUUUUGGACAAUGGACGCAAGUCUGAUCCAGCCAUUCCGCGUGCAGGAUGAAGGCCCUCGGGUUGUAAACUGCUUUUGUACGGAACGAAAAGGUCUCUCUUAAUACGGGGGACUCAUGACGGUACCGUAAGAAUAAGCACCGGCUAACUACGUGCCAGCCGCCGCAGUAA
rnacentral:rRNA from 1 species